UACGUAGGGUGCAAGCGUUGUCCGGAAUUAUUGGGCGUAAAGGGUGCGUAGGCGGUUGUUUAAGUCUGUCGUGAAAUCCCCGGGCUCAACCUGGGAAUGGCGAUGGAUACUGGGCAGCUAGAGUGUGUCAGAGGAUGGUGGAAUUCCCGGUGUAGCGGUGAAAUGCGUAGAGAUCGGGAGGAACAUCAGUGGCGAAGGCGGCCAUCUGGGACAACACUGACGCUGAAGCACGAAAGCGUGGGGAGCAAACAGG
rnacentral:rRNA from 1 species